GAUGAACGCUGACAGAAUGCUUAACACAUGCAAGUCAUUUGCGAAGCUGCGCUUGCGCAGUCUAGCCAAGGCGGACGGGUGAGUAACGCGUAAGGAACUUGCCCUGCAGACAGGGAUAACAGACGGAAACGACUGAUAACACCUGGUAUUGUCAGGCUGGCGCAUGCCGGCCUGAUGAAAGGAGACGCUGCAGGAGAGCCUUGCGUCCUAUUAGCUAGUUGGUGGGGUAACGGCCCACCAAGGCGAUGAUAGGUAGCCGGCCUGAGAGGGUGAACGGCCACAAGGGGACUGAGAUACGGCCCUUACUCCUACGGGAGGCAGCAGUGGGGAAUAGUGGACAAUGGGGGCAACCCUGAUGCAGCAAUUCUGUGUGCACGAAGAAGGUUUUCGGAGUGUAAAGUGCUUUCAGCAGGGAAGAAGAAAGUGACGGUACCUGCAGAAGAAGCGACGGCUAAAUACGUG
rnacentral:rRNA from 1 species